rnacentral:rRNA from 1 species
GUGCCAGCAGCCGCGGUAAUACAGAGGUCUCAAGCGUUGUUCGGAAUCACUGGGCGUAAAGGGUGCGCAGGUGGUCAUGUAAGUCAAAUGUGAAAGACUGGGGCUCAACCUCAGAUUUGCAUGUGAUACUGCGUGACUUGAGAACUGAAGAGGGAUCUUGAAUUCACGGUGUAGCAGUGAAAUGCGUAGAUAUCGUGAGGAACACCAAAGGCGAAAGCAGGAUCCUGGUCAGCUUCUGACACUCAUGCACGAAGGCUAGGGGAGCAAACGGGAUUAGAAACCCUUGUAGUCC